rnacentral:rRNA from 1 species
UGGGCAACCUGCCCCUCUCUCUGGGAUAACCCCGGGAAAACCGGAGCUAAUACCGGAUACUCCGGCUGGAUCGCAUGGUCCGGCCGGGAAAGGUCCGCCGGAGAGGGAUGGGCCCGCGGCCUAUCAGCUUGUUGGUGGGGUAACGGCCUACCAAGGCGACGACGGGUAGCUGGUCUGAGAGGACGACCAGCCACACUGGAACUGAGAUACGGUCCAGACUCCUACGGGAGGCA